rnacentral:lncRNA from 1 species
AAGGAUUAUAUAAAGAAUAAUAAGAUCCUAAGCUACCGUUUGUUUCGGAGUUAAGAAAAAAUUAGUUAUUCCAGAAAUAUGAUUAAAUUUAGGGUUAAGUACGGUUAGAGUAUUUUUGUGUUUGGUUGGAAGUUGGAGUUAGUCCAUGAUAGUGAAAAAUAGUAUUUGGUUGGAGUAGGUGAGAUAAGAAGGAUAGUGGGUUAUUAUGAAUAGAAAAUAGUGUUUGAUUGGGAUUUGGUGUGGUUAGCUAACCCGGAAUAAUCCAUUUUAACUCCACCUAUUUUUAAAAGUGUUUGGAAAUAAAAUGGGGGUUAAGGGGUUAUUCCACUCCUUAACAGAAUAACCCCUUAACCCCCAACC